UGGGGAAUUUUGGACAAUGGGGGAAACCCUGAUCCAGCCAUCCCGCGUGUGCGAUGAAGGCCUUCGGGUUGUAAAGCACUUUUGGCAGGAAAGAAACGUCAUGGGUUAAUACCCCGUGAAUCUGACGGUACCUGCAGAAUAAGCACCGGCUAACUACGUGCCAGCAGCCGCGGUAAUACGUAGGGUGCAAGCGUUAAUCGGAAUUACUGGGCGUAAAGCGUGCGCAGGCGGUUCGGAAAGAAAGAUGUGAAAUCCCAGAGCUCAACUUUGGAACUGCAUUUUUAACUACCGGGCUAGAGUGUGUCAGAGGGAGGUGGAAUUCCGCGUGUAGCAGUGAAAUGCGUAGAUAUGCGGAGGAACACCGAUGGCGAAGGCAGCCUCCUGGGAUAACACUGACGCUCAUGCACGAAAGCGUGGGGAGCAAACAGG
rnacentral:rRNA from 1 species